GCGGUUUUGGAUGGACUCGCGGCCUAUCAGCUUGUUGGUGAGGUAAUGGCUCACCAAGGCGACGACGGGUAGCCGGCCUGAGAGGGUGACCGGCCACACUGGGACUGAGACACGGCCCAG
rnacentral:rRNA from 1 species